CUGACCGAGCACGCCGCGUGAGUGAAGAAGGUUUUCGGAUCGUAAAACUCUGUUGGUAGAGAAGAACGUUGGUGAGAGUGGAAAGCUCAUCAAGUGACGGUAACUACCCAAAAAGGGACGGCUAAUAUACGUGCCAGCAGCCGCGGUAAUACGG
rnacentral:rRNA from 1 species